GGACCUUUAUAACCACCACUUUCACUUAAUUGGGGAGGAAGGGGUGAGAGAAAUAGAGGAGGGAGAGUGUUGAUAAGGGAGAGGUGAGGAGUCAGUAAAAGGGGGCAGACAGAAAUGGAGAAGGCACCUGCUGCUUUGAGCGUUUGUCUGUUGGCUCACAGCAGAGAAAGAGAGGAGAGAGGAGGCUGAGAAAAGUGAAGGAGAGGACUGAUUGAUGAGUGAGGAAGUGAAAGAUGAGACAGAGAGGAAGACGCUCAAAGAACAGGACGUGUGUCUGGGAUACAUUUGAUGUUUCAACAGGAAUACUCUUUAUGAUUUAAACCACCAUCUGCAGUCUUCAAACAUAUGUGGAGAGAGACUUUUGGAAGCAAGCUUGAAAAACUAUCGAUGUAUGCUUAUGUUGACCCAGGAGAACUACAGGAGGAGUAAGGGUCCGCAGGAGUGACACCCAUUGAAGAGGUUUCUGGAUCGGUGAUGUCACGUGAACGGCUCCCUCUCAUUGGUUCAUCCGGGAGUAGAACAACAGCGAAGCCCCCUCUCUCCUCCCCGGCUCUCCCGCGCCCCCAUCAGGCUAAUCACAGAAAACGCAGCCAGCAGCAGACAUCCUCCUCUUCCUCUCACCCUCAUCCGGGGCCUUCCUCCAUCCUCGUCUCUGACACCACCAUGACGCCUUGGGGAGGCCUGGCUC